rnacentral:rRNA from 1 species
AGCUAACGCGUGAAGUUGACCGCCUGGGGAGUACGGUCGCAAGAUUAAAACUCAAAGGAAUUGACGGGGACCCGCACAAGCGGUGGAUGAUGUGGAUUAAUUCGAUGCAACGCGAAAAACCUUACCUACCCUUGACAUGUCUGGAAUGCCGAAGAGAUUUGGCAGUGCUCGCAAGAGAACCGGAACACAGGUGCUGCAUGGCUGUCGUCAGCUCGUGUCGUGAGAUGUUGGGUUAAGUCCCGCAACGAGCGCAACCCUUGUCAUUAGUUGCUACGAAAGGGCACUCUAAUGAGACUGCCGGUGACAAACCGGAGGAAGGUGGGGAUGACGUCAAGUCCUCAUGGCCCUUAUGGGUAGGGCUUCACACGUCAUACAAUGGUCGGGACAGAGGGUCGCCAACCCGCGAGGGGGAGCCAAUCCCAGAAACCCGAUCGUAGUCCGGAUCGCAGUCUGCAACUCGACUGCGUGAAGUCGGAAUCGCUAGUAAUCGCGGAUCAGCAUGUCGCGGUGAAUACGUUCCCGG